rnacentral:rRNA from 1 species
GACGAACGCUGGCGGCGUGCUUAACACAUGCAAGUCGUACGGAAAGGCCCUGCUUUUGUGGGUUGCUCGAGUGGCGAACGGAUGAGUAACACGUGAGUAACCUGCCCUUGACUUUGUGAUAACUUCAGGAAACUGGGGCUAAUACCGGAUAGGAGCUCCUGCUGCAUGGUGGGGGUUGGAAAGUUUCGGCGGUUGGGGAUGGACUCGCGGCUUAUCAGCUUGUUGGUGGGGUAGUGGCUUACCAAGGCUUUGACGGGUAGCCGGCCUGAGAGGGUGACCGGCCACAUUGGGACUGAGAUACGGCCCAGACUCCUACGGGAGGCAGAAGUGGGGAAUAUUGCACAAUGGGCGGAAGCCUGAUGCAGCAACGCCGCGUGCGGGAUGACGGCCUUCGGGUUGUAAACCGCUUUCGCCUGUGACGAAGCGUGAGUGACGGUAAUGGGUAAAGAAGCACCGGCUAACUACGUG